UGAUUCCUGCGGUGUUCGUUAGGGUUCUACGUGUUUUGAACCUUGAGUGUUUCGAGGGAGACAGAACUCACGGCUGGAUGACAUGCCCACCUCCUUAUAGGACGAAUGGGAAGUCAGAAUCUGUGACGGGUCACCCACCUGCUGAUGGCAGGUUCGGAAACACAGAGCUCGACGGCACAGGCGGGAUACAU
rnacentral:other from 1 species